rnacentral:rRNA from 1 species
GAGUUGUGGUGUCUGGCAAGGUUAAGCAAACGCGAAGCCGUAGCGAAAGCGAGUCUGAAUAGGGCGCUUAGUCAGAUGCUGCAGACCCGAAACGAAGUGAUCUAUCCAUGAGCAAGUUGAAGCUAGUGUAAGAACUAGUGGAGGACUGAACCCAUAGGCGUUGAAAAGCCCCGGGAUGACUUGUGGAUAGGGGUGAAAGGCCAAUCAAACUUCGUGAUAGCUGGUUCUCUCCGAAAUAUAUUUAGGUAUAGCGUUGUGUCGUAAUAUAAGGGGGUAGAGCACUGAAUGGGCUAGGGCAUACACCAAUGUACCAAACCCUAUCAAACUCCGAAUACCUUAUAUGUAAUCACAGCAGUCAGGCGGCGAGUGAUAAAAUCCGUCGUCAAGAGGGAAACAACCCAGACUACCAGCUAAGGUCCCUAAAUCUUACUUAAGUGGAAAACGAUGUGAAGUUACUUAAACAACCAGGAGGUUGGCUUAGAAGCAGCCAUCCUUUAAAGAAAGCGUAAUAGCUCACUGGUCUAGUGAUUUUGCGCGGAAAAUAUAACGGGGCUAAAGUAAGUACCGAAGCUGUAGACUUAGUUUACUAAGUGGUAGGAGAGCGUUCUAUUUGCGUCGAAGGUAUACCGGUAAGGAGUGCUGGAGCGAAUAGAAGUGAGCAUGCAGGCAUGAGUAGCGAUAAUUAAUGUGAGAAUCAUUAACGCCGUAAACCCAAGGUUUCCUACGCGAUGCUCGUCAUCGUAGGGUUAGUCGGGUCCUAAGUCGAGUCCGAAAGGGGUAGACGAUGGCAAAUUGGUUAAUAUUCCAAUACCAACAUUAGUGUGCGAUGGAAGGACGCUUAGGGCUAAGGGGGCUAGCGGAUGGAAGUGCUAGUCUAAGGUCGUAGGAGGUUAUACAGGCAAAUCCGUAUAACAAUACUCCGAGAACUGAAAGGCUUUUUGAAGUCUUCGGAUGGAUAGAAGAACCCCUGAUGCCGUCGAGCCAAGAAAAGUUUCUAAGUUUAGCUAAUGUUGCCCGUACCGUAAACCGACACAGGUGGGUGGGAUGAGUAUUCUAAGGCGCGUGGAAGAACUCUCUUUAAGGAACUCUGCAAAAUAGCACCGUAUCUUCGGUAUAAGGUGUGGUUAGCUUUGUAUUAGGAUUUACUCCGAAAGCAAGGAAACUUACAACAAAGAGUCCCUCCCGACUGUUUACCAAAAACACAGCACUCUGCUAACUCGUAAGAGGAUGUAUAGGGUGUGACGCCUGCCCGGUGCUCGAAGGUUAAUUGAUGGGGUUAGCAUUAGCGAAGCUCUUGAUCGAAGCCCGAGUAAACGGCGGCCGUAACUAUAACGGUCCUAAGGUAGCGAAAUUCCUUGUCGGUUAAAUACCGACCUGCAUGAAUGGCGUAACGAGAUGGGAGCUGUCUCAAAGAGGGAUCCAGUGAAAUUGUAGUGGAGGUGAAAAUUCCUUCUACCCGCGGCAAGACGGAAAGACCCCGUGGACCUUUACUACAGCUUGACACUGCUACUUGGAUAAGAAUGUGCAGGAUAGGUGGGAGGCUUUGAGUAUAUGACGCCAGUUGUAUAUGAGCCAUUGUUGAGAUACCACUCUUUCUUAUUUGGGUAGCUAACCAGCUUGAGUUAUCCUCAAGUGGGACAAUGUCUGGUGGGUAGUUUGACUGGGGCGGUCGCCUCCCAAAUAAUAACGGAGGCUUACAAAGGUUGGCUCAGAACGGUUGGAAAUCGUUCGUAGAGUAUAAAGGUAUAAGCCAGCUUAACUGCAAGACAUACAAGUCAAGCAGAGACGAAAGUCGGUCUUAGUGAUCCGGUGGUUCUGUGUGGAAGGGCCAUCGCUCAAAGGAUAAAAGGUACCCCGGGGAUAACAGGCUGAUCUCCCCCAAGAGCUCACAUCGACGGGGAGGUUUGGCACCUCGAUGUCGGCUCAUCGCAUCCUGGGGCUGGAGCAGGUCCCAAGGGUAUGGCUGUUCGCCAUUUAAAGCGGUACGCGAGCUGGGUUCAGAACGUCGUGAGACAGUUCGGUCCCUAUCUGCCGUGGGCGUAAGAAGAUUGAAGAGAUUUGACCCUAGUACGAGAGGACCGGGUUGAACAAACCACUGGUGUAGCUGUUGUUCUGCCAAGAGCAUCGCAGCGUAGCUAAGUUUGGAAAGGAUAAACGCUGAAAGCAUCUAAGCGUGAAGCCAACUCUAAGAUGAAUCUUCUCUAAGCUCUCUAGAAGACUACUAGUUUGAUAGGCUGGGUGUGUAAUGGAUGAAAGUCCUUUAGCUGACCAGUACUAAUAGAGCGUUUGGCUUAUCUUU